GAUGAACGCUGGCGGCAUGCCUAAUACAUGCAAGCCGAACGAGAGGAAGGAAAGCUUGCUUUUCUGAAUCUAGUGGCGAACGGGUGAGUAACACGUAGGUAACCUGCCCAUGUGCCCGGGAUAACUUCUGGAAACGGAUGCUAAAACCGGAUAGGUAGCAGACAAGCAUUUGACUGCUAUUAAAGUGGCUCAGGCCAUGAACAUGGAUGGACCUGCGGUGCAUUAGCUAGUUGGUGAGGUAACGGCCCACCAAGGCGACGAUGCAUAGCCGGCCUGAGAGGGCGGACGGCCACAUUGGGACUGAGACACGGCCCAAACUCCUACGGGAGGCAGCAGUAGGGAAUUUUCGUCAAUGGGGGGAACCUUGAACGAGCAAUGCCGCGUGAGUGAGGAAGGUCUUCGGAUCGUAAAGCUCUGUUGUAAGAGAAAAACGACAUUCAUAGGGAAUGAUGAGUGAGUGAUGGUAUCUUACCAGAAAGUCACGGCUAACUACGUGCCAGCAGCCGCCGUAA
rnacentral:rRNA from 1 species